AGCGAACGCUGGCGGCAGGCCUAACACAUGCAAGUCGAACGGAUCCUUCGGGAUUAGUGGCGGACGGGUGAGUAACACGUGGGAACGUGCCCUUUGGUUCGGAACGACUCAGGGAAACUUGAGCUAAUACCGGAUGUGCCCUUCGGGGGAAAGAUUUAUCGCCAUUGGAGCGGCCCGCGUCUGAUUAGCUAGUUGGUGAGGUAACGGCCCACCAAGGCGACGAUCAGUAGCUGGUCUGAGAGGAUGAUCAGCCACACUGGGACUGAGACACGGCCCAGACUCCUACGGGAGGCAGCAGUGGGGAAUCUUGCGCAAUGGGCGAAAGCCUGACGCAGCCAUGCCGCGUGAAUGAUGAAGGUCUUAGGAUUGUAAAAUUCUUUCAGCGGGGACGAUAAUGACGGUACCCGCAGAAGAAGCUCCGGCUAACUUCGUG
rnacentral:rRNA from 1 species